ensembl:misc_RNA
CUGACAGAACAAAAGACUAAGGUCUUCUCUCAAGAUGCCGCUACAGAUAUAUCCAGACUGUAAAACAGUCACAGUGGCUGUGAAAGUUUCCUUGCACAGUCAUGCCAGGGGACCUCAGGCUUGAAAUGGAAGGACCACCUCUGAGGGUGAGAGAGGAAUUAAUUCUCCAUGGCCCAUUCAGGAUUUGGCCUCU